rnacentral:lncRNA from 1 species
UAUAUAUUGAAGUUUUUCAUGUAAUCACUAUCUUAUUACACAUAACUUGUCACUUUUUUCCUGAGUAUCACUAAAUCCAUUUUUCCUUGGAAUUUAUUUUGGUUUUUGAUAAUCUCAAUAUAAAAUGAUGCAAACAGCGACAUGCUUAAUUCAGCAGACUUUAAUCAUUACUAAAUCCAUUUAGCCUAUGUCAACAUUUCUUCAUGGCAAAGGCAGCAAGUCCUUCAUCCACAACAGAUCUUGAUACUCCAUUAUCGGCAUGGAUACAGGUAACACCUAG